CCUACGGGAGGCAGCAGUGGGGGAUAUUGCACAAUGGGGGGAACCCUGAUGCAGCGACGCCGCGUGGGUGAAGAAGCGCCUCGGCGCGUAAAGCCCUGUCAGCAGGGAAGAAAAUGACGGUACCUGAAGAAGAAGCCCCGGCUAACUACGUGCCAGCAGUCGCGGUCAUACGUAGGGGGCAAGCGUUAUCCGGAUUUACUGGGUGUAAAGGGGGCGCAGACGGCGAUGCAAGCCAGUGGUGAAAGCCCGGGGCACAACCCCGGGACUGCUCUUGGAACUGCGUGGCUGGAGUGCAGGAGGGGCAGGCGGAAUUCCUGGUGUAGCGGUGAAAGGCGUAGAUAUCAGGAGGAAAACCGGUGGCGAAGGCGGCCUGCGGGACUGCAACUGACGUUGAGGCCCGAAAGCGUGGGGAGCAAACAGGAUUAGAUACCCUGGUAGC
rnacentral:rRNA from 1 species